rnacentral:rRNA from 1 species
AUUGAACGCUGGCGGCAUGCCUAACACAUGCAAGUCGAGCGGAGUGGCGGAAGGGUGAGUAAUGAAUAGGAAGAUACCUGGGAGAGGGGGAUAACAUCAGGAAAGGGGAGCUAAUACCGCAUCAUAUUAGCUGAGCCUAAUCAGGAUUAGCUAGUUUGUGGGGUAAAGGCCUACCAAGGCGACGAACCGUAGCUGGUCUGAGAGGAUGAACAGUCACACUGGAACUGAGACACGGUCCAGACUCUUACGGUAGGCAGCAGUGGGGAAUCUUGGACAAUGGGCGAAAGCCUGAUCCAGCCAUGCCGCGUGUGUGAAGAAGUUCUUCGGAUUGUAAAGCACUGUAAUUAGGGAGGCGUUACCUACAGAAUAAGCAACGGCUAACUACGUGCCAGCAGCCGCGGUAAUUC